GCCAGGUGUGGUGGCACAUGCCUGUAAUCCCAGCUACUCGGGAGGCUGAAGUGGGAGGAUCACUUGAGCCCAGAAGUUCUGGGCUGUAGUGCGCUAUGCCGAUCGGGUGUCCACACUAAGUUUGGAAUCAAUAUCGUGACCUCCUGGGAGCGGGAGCGGGGGACCACCAGGUUGCCUAAGGAGGGGUGAACUGGCCCAGGUCGGAAAUGGAGCAGCUCAAAACUCCUGUGGUGAUCAGUAGUUGAAUCAUGCCUGUGAAUAGCCACUGCACUCCAGCCUGGGCAACACAGCGAGACCCUGUCUCUU
ensembl:misc_RNA Metazoa_SRP Metazoan signal recognition particle RNA